CUCUGUUGUCACACCUUCUGUCUGUCCACGACUGCACCUCCAGUGAUCAUGAAGCUCUUCAUCUUCUUGCUGUGUCUGACUCCCCUCGUCUUCGCCAUGCCGCAGAAGCGAGGCUUUGGAGAUGAACUGAAGCAUCUUGCUAGCAAACUGGUCGAUAGCGGUGUUGCGGAAGGCGCGUGCGAGACCGGAUGCCACGCCAUUGCCGGCCUUCUGGGAUUCCUUUGCGGACCAGCAUGCAAGGAGGCUGAAAAACUGCUGCAUGGUUGAUGAACUGCGCUUACAGUGCGCCACUGUGACAAACCACCACAUACAUGGAGUGAAAUAAAUCAUGUAAAAAAAAAAAUGGA